rnacentral:rRNA from 1 species
CCUACGGGAGGCAGCAGUGGGGAAUAUUGGACAAUGGGGGGAACCCUGAUCCAGCCAUGCCGCGUGUGUGAAGAAGGCCCUCGGGUUGUAAAGCACUUUCAGUGAGGAAGAACGCCUGGUGGUUAAUACCCAUCAGGAAAGACAUCACUCACAGAAGAAGCACCGGCUAACUCCGUGCCAGCAGCCGCGGUAAUACGGAGGGUGCGAGCGUUAAUCGGAAUUACUGGGCGUAAAGCGCGCGUAGGUGGCUUGAUAAGCCGGUUGUGAAAGCCCGGGGCUCAACCUGGGAACGGCAUCCGGAACUGUCAAGCUAGAGUGCAGGAGAGGAAGGUAGAAUUCCCGGUGUAGCGGUGAAAUGCGUAGAGAUCGGGAGGAAUACCAGUGGCGAAGGCGGCCUUCUGGACUGACACUGACACUGAGGUGCGAAAGCGUGGGUAGCAAACAGGAUUAGAUACCCCAGUAGUC